CCCUAGCUUUUAACCAUGUGCAUAUUUGGUUGCAUGUUAUUUCUGCUGCACUUUUAUUUUGUAAUUACAUAUCUUUAAAUACAAAAUAAAAAAGAAUGCACUUCCGGGUAGGAGCGGAAGUACGCUUCUUCAUUCAGAGCUCUGGCGUUUGUGCGCUUUUUUUUGAGGCGCUACAGCCGCUUUUCUCCCGUUUGUACUCUUCUUUAUUCCGCGGAGCAUCAACUCCGGACUUGUUUUGUGAAUAUAUUCUUUUUUUUUACAGCUUCAUCGCCAUUAGUUUUAAAAAAUGUCCCGAAGGCGACACAGCGACGAGAAUGAGGGAGGUCAGCCCCAUAAAAGGAGGAGAACAUCGGAGCCCAUAGAGAUUGAAGACCGCCUGGAGUCCCUCAUAUGUCGGGUUGGGGAGAAGAGCACGUCCUCCUUGGAAAGCAACCUGGAGGGCCUGGCUGGAGUGUUGGAGGCAGACCUUCCCAACUACAAAAACAAGAUCCUGCGGAUUCUGUGUUCUGUGGCCCGGCUGCUUCCCGAGAAGCUGACGGUCUACACCACGCUGGUCGGACUCCUCAAUGCACGCAACUACAACUUCGGCGGAGAGUUUGUGGAAGCCAUGAUCCGGCAACUUAAAGAGACUCUUAAGAACAACCUGUACAUCGAGGCCGUUUACCUGGUGCGUUUCCUGUCUGAUCUGGUCAACUGCCACAACUUUGUCAGUGUGACGCAGGAAGAGGAUGUGCCACAGGUGCGCUCGGACUGGUUUGUGUACGUGGUGCUGUCCUGUCUCCCCUGGGUGGGCAAAGAACUGUACGAGAAGAAGGACGUGGAGAUGGACCGGCUCCUCAGUCAGAUUGAAGGUUACCUCAAGAGGCGAGUGAAGACACACUUGCCCAUGCUACAGGUGUGGUCAGCGGAGAAGCCCCACCCACAGGAGGAGUACCUGGACUGCCUGUGGGCUCAGAUCCAGAAGCUGAAAAAGGAUCGGUGGCAGGAGCGGCACAUCCUCCGUCCCUACAUCGCCUUCGACAGCGUCCUGUGUGAGGCGCUGCAGCACAACCUGCCCCCAUUCACCCCCCCGGGACACAUGCCCGACGCACACUACCCCAUGCCCCGGGUCAUCUUCCGCAUGUUCGACUACACAGACGCCCCGGAGGGCCCAGUGAUGCCUGGGAGCCAUUCAGUGGAGAGGUUCGUCAUAGAAGAGAAUCUCAACUGUAUCAUCAAGACCCACUGGAAAGAGCGCAAGACAUGUGCAGCCCAGUUACUCAGUUAUCCAGGCAAAAGCAAGAUCCCCCUCAACUAUCACAUUGUGGAGGUGAUAUUUGGCCAACUGUUCCAGCUGCCCGUUCCUCCGCACUUAGACGUCAUGUACACCACGCUGCUCAUUGAACUGUGCAAACUACAGCCUGGCUCUCUGCCACAGGUCCUGGCCCAGGCCACAGAGAUGCUGUACAUGAGGCUGGACACCAUGAACACCACCUGUAUAGACCGGUGA
rnacentral:lncRNA from 1 species